UCCACCUUUACCCCCGAGACGCUGAGACACUCCUGUCUAAUGAAGUAGAGGGGCCGCGGUCCCAGAGGGCUGGAGCAGAGCUCUGUCACCCCUGAGUGUUGUUUUCCCACCGGACAGCCCAGUCAGCGUCCACCAUCGAAGCAUGUCGCCGGUAACGAAGUGCGGGUCUGUGUGA